rnacentral:tRNA from 1 species
GGUGGCUCAGUGGUAGAGCACUUGCCUUGCAUGCAUAAGGCCCUGGGUUCAAUUCCUCAGUACCA